rnacentral:rRNA from 1 species
GACGAACCGAGCGAACGUUGUUCGGAAUAACUGGGCUUAAAGGGCGCGUAGGCGGGCUGUCAAGUUUGGGGUGAAAUCCCGCGGCUCAACCGUGGAACUGCCUCAAAUACUGACGGCCUCGAGGGAGGUAGGGGCGAGCGGAACUAAUGGUGGAGCGGUGAAAUGCGUUGAUAUCAUUAGGAACUCCGGUGGCGAAGGCGGCUCGCUGGACCUUUUCUGACGCUGAGGCGCGAAAGCUAGGGGAGCAAACGGG